AGUGAACGCUGGCGGUAGGCCUAACACAUGCAAGUCGAACGGCAGCACAGUAAGAGCUUGCUCUUACGGGUGGCGAGUGGCGGACGGGUGAGGAAUACAUCGGAAUCUACCUUUUCGUGGGGGAUAACGUAGGGAAACUUACGCUAAUACCGCAUACGACCUACGGGUGAAAGCAGGGGAUCUUCGGACCUUGCGCGAUUGAAUGAGCCGAUGUCGGAUUAGCUAGUUGGCGGGGUAAAGGCCCACCAAGGCGACGAUCCGUAGCUGGUCUGAGAGGAUGAUCAGCCACACUGGAACUGAGACACGGUCCAGACUCCUACGGGAGGCAGCAGUGGGGAAUAUUGGACAAUGGGCGCAUGCCUGAUCCAGCCAUACCGCGUGGGUGAAGAAGGCCUUCGGGUUGUAAAGCCCUUUUGUUGGGAAAGAAAAGCAGCAGGUUAAUACCCCGCUGUUCUGACGGUACCCAAAGAAUAAGCACCGGCUAACUUCGUG
rnacentral:rRNA from 1 species